AUUGAACGCUGGCGGCAGGCCUAACACAUGCAAGUCGAACGAGUGGCGGACGGGUGAGUAAUGUCUGGGAAACUGCCCGAUGGAGGGGGAUAACUACUGGAAACGGUAGCUAAUACCGCAUACCAUCGGAUGUGCCCAGAUGGGCUUAGCUAUUAGGUGGGGUAAUGGCUCACCUAGGCGACGAGCCCUAGCUGGUCUGAGAGGAUGACCAGCCACACUGGAACUGAGACACGGGCAAUAUGCCUACGGGAGGCAGCAGUGGGGAAUAUUGCACCAUGGGCACAAGCCUGAUGCAGCCAUGCCGCGUGGUUGAAGAAGGCCUUCGGGUUGUAAAGUACUUUCAGAGAGGAGGCGUUACUCGCAGAAGAAGCACCGGCUAACUCCGUGCCAGCCGCCGCGGUAAUUC
rnacentral:rRNA from 1 species